rnacentral:rRNA from 1 species
AGUGAACGCUGGCGGUAGGCCUAACACAUGCAAGUCGAACGACCACACGGGGAGAGUUCGCCCUUACGGUUGGCGGCUGGCGGAUGGGUGAGACAUACAUCGGCUUCUUCUUUUACGUGGGGGAUAUCGUGGGGACACUUACGCUAAUACCUCACACGACCUACCGGUUAAAUCAGCAGAUCAUCAGACCUUUCGCGUCUCAUUUAGACGAUGUCGCAUUAGCUAGUUGGUUGGGUAAAGGCCCACCAAGGCGACGCUCCGUAGCUGAUCUGAGAGGAUGAUCAGCCACACUGGAACUGAGACACGGUCCAGACUCCUACGGGAGGCAGCAGUAGGGAAUCUUCGACAAUGGGCGAAAGCCUGAUCCAGCAAUACCGCGUGAGUGAAGAAGGCCUUCGGAUUGUAAAGCCCUUUUAUUGGGAAAGAAAAGCUGCAUGAGUAUCCCUGCAUGUCCUGACGGUACCUAAAGAAUAAGCACCGGCUAACUUCGUG